UACGGAGGGUGCGAGCGUUGUCCGGAAUUAUUGGGCGUAAAGAGCUCGUAGGCGGUCUGUCGCGUCGGCUGUGAAAUCCCGAGGCUCAACCUCGGGUCUGCAGUCGAUACGGGCAAACUAGAGUAUUGCAGGGGAGACUGGAAUUCCUGGUGUAGCGGUGAAAUGCGCAGAUAUCAGGAGGAACACCGGUGGCGAAGGCGGGUCUCUGGGCAAUAACUGACGCUGAGGAGCGAAAGCGUGGGGAGCGAACAGG
rnacentral:rRNA from 1 species